GAUUCGUCACACUAUCAUUAACUGAAUCCAUAGGUUAAUGAGGCGAACCGGGGGAACUGAAACAUCUAAGUACCCCGAGGAAAAGAAAUCAACCGAGAUUCCCCCAGUAGCGGCGAGCGAACGGGGAGGAGCCCAGAGCCUGAAUCAGCAUGUGUGUUAGUGGAAGCGUCUGGAAAGGCGCGCGAUACAGGGUGACAGCCCCGUACACAAAAGCGCAUGUGCUGUGAGCUCGAUGAGUAGGGCGGGACACGUGGUAUCCUGUCUGAAUAUGGGGGGACCAUCCUCCAAGGCUAAAUACUCCUGACUGACCGAUAGUGAACCAGUACCGUGAGGGAAAGGCGAAAAGAACCCCGGCGAGGGGAGUGAAAAAGAACCUGAAACCGUGUACGUACAAGCAGUGGGAGCACCCUUCGGGGUGUGACUGCGUACCUUUUGUAUAAUGGGUCAGCGACUUAUAUUCUGUAGCAAGGUUAACCGUAUAGGGGAGCCGGAGGGAAACCGAGUCUUAAUUGGGCGUUAAGUUGCAGGGUAUAGACCCGAAACCCGGUGAUCUAGCCAUGGGCAGGUUGAAGGUUGGGUAACACUAACUGGAGGACCGAACCGACUAAUGUUGAAAAAUUAGCGGAUGACCUGUGGCUGGGGGUGAAAGGCCAAUCAAACCGGGAGAUAGCUGGUUCUCCCCGAAAGCUAUUUAGGUAGCGCCUCGUGAAUUCAUCUCCGGGGGUAGAGCACUGUUUCGGCUAGGGGGCCAUCCCGGCUUACCAACCCGAUGCAAACUGCGAAUACCGGAGAAUGUUAUCACGGGAGACACACGGCGGGUGCUAACGUCCGUCGUGAAGAGGGAAACAACCCAGACCGCCAGCUAAGGUCCCAAAGUCAUGGUUAAGUGGGAAACGAUGUGGGAAGGCCCAGACAGCCAGGAUGUUGGCUUAGAAGCAGCCAUCAUUUAAAGAAAGCGUAAUAGCUCACUGGUCGAGUCGGCCUGCGCGGAAGAUGUAACGGGGCUAAACCAUGCACCGAAGCUGCGGCAGCGAACGUAUCACCCAAGACAACUUUACGGAGUUGACGAUUGACGGAGCGAAGCGACGUCAAAGCGUUCAUUAAAGUCGAGUUGGCUUAGGGAUACGUUCGUUGGGUAGGGGAGCGUUCUGUAAGCCUGUGAAGGUGUGUCGUGAGGCAUGCUGGAGGUAUCAGAAGUGCGAAUGCUGACAUAAGUAACGAUAAAGCGGGUGAAAAGCCCGCUCGCCGGAAGACCAAGGGUUCCUGUCCAACGUUAAUCGGGGCAGGGUGAGUCGACCCCUAAGGCGAGGCCGAAAGGCGUAGUCGAUGGGAAACGGGUUAAUAUUCCCGUACUUGGUGUUACUGCGAAGGGGGGACGGAGAAGGCUAUGUUGGCCGGGCGACGGUUGUCCCGGUUUAAGCGUGUAGGUGUGUGUUCCAGGUAAAUCCGGUUCACUUUAACACUGAGGCGUGACGACGAGGCACUACGGUGCUGAAGCAACAAAUGCCC
rnacentral:rRNA from 1 species